UUUUUUAACUAAAAGAGUUGACAAUUUUAUUUUCACAUUUCACAAUACAAAUGAGAAUUGCUUCUUUUGGUCCCAUACUCCCCUCUCUUAGAUAGGGGUGCCUUUUCCUUAUCUGAUGUUAGAAAACACCCAGAGUCACCACGAUCUCUCGUGAAGUAGAACAAGGUCUUUCUCCCAGAUGGACAGUCGUGAGUGAGGUAUGUGUCGCAGGAGUCACAAUAGAACAUAAGCUUGAUGUUCUGCAGGCCCUUGGCCACUCCGUGACUGUGUCCCCGGAAAUGACGCACACAGCCAGCCAGUGCCAACCGACUCCUAUAUUUUAUCCUGUGUUUAAUCUCUUACAUUUUGUGUCUGUGAUCUGCUUAAAUAUUUCCAUGAAACAUUAAAUAUUUCCAUGAAACAUU